GAGGAAUUGACUCCUUUGAUUCUUGCUACCCAGAAGCAGUUCAACUUCACACACAUCUGUGCAGGAGCUUCUGCUUUUGGGAAGAAUCUCCUUCCCAGUGUCAGCCAAGCUGGAUGUUGUAACUCUCUCUGACAUCAUCGAGGUCAAAUCUCAAGACACCGUCGUUAGAACCAUUUACGCUGGCCCUGGCCACAGUGAAGUGCAAUGAGAAAGUCAAGGUGUUCACAGUGAGGGGAACUUCCUUUGAACCUGCUGCUGUGGAGGGAGGCAGUGC